UACGUAGGGCGCAAGCGUUGUCCGGAAUUAUUGGGCGUAAAGAGCUCGUAGGCGGCUUGUCACGUCGGGUGUGAAAGCCCGGGGCUUAACCCCGGGUCUGCAUUCGAUACGGGCAGGCUAGAGUGUGGUAGGGGAGAUCGGAAUUCCUGGUGUAGCGGUGAAAUGCGCAGAUAUCAGGAGGAACACCGGUGGCGAAGGCGGAUCUCUGGGCCAUUACUGACGCUGAGGAGCGAAAGCGUGGGGAGCGAACGGG
rnacentral:rRNA from 1 species